GACGAACGCUGGCGGCGUGCCUAACACAUGCAAGUCGAACGGGGUGAUUCGCUUCGGUGGAUCACUUAGUGGCGAACGGGUGAGUAACGCGUGAGAAACCUGCCUUUCAGUGGGGGACAACAGUUGGAAACGACUGCUAAUACCGCAUAACAUAUACCGGGGGCAUCCCUGGUAUAUCAAAGCUUUAUGUGCUGAAAGAUGGUCUCGCGUCUGAUUAGCUAGAUGGCGGGGUAACGGCCCACCAUGGCGACGAUCAGUAGCCGGUCUGAGAGGAUGAACGGCCACAUUGGGACUGAGAUACGGCCCAGACUCCUACGGGAGGCAGCAGUGGGGAAUAUUGGGCAAUGGGGGAAACCCUGACCCAGCAACGCCGCGU
rnacentral:rRNA from 1 species